UAGGGAAUCUUCGGCAAUGGACGAAAGUCUGGCCGAGCAACGCCGCGUGAGUGAAGAAGGUUUUCGGAUCGUAAAACUCUGUUGUUAGAGAAGAACAAGGACGUUAGUAACUGAACGUCCCCUGACGGUAUCUAACCAGAAAGCCACGGCUAACUACGUGCCAGCAGCCGCGGUAAUACGUAGGUGGCAAGCGUUGUCCGGAUCUAUUGGGCGUAAAGCGAGCGCAGGCGGUUUCUUAAGUCUGAUGUGAAAGCCCCCGGCUCAACCGGGGAGGGUCAUUGGAAACUGGGAGACUUGAGUGCAGAAGAGGAGAGUGGAAUUCCAUGUGUAGCGGUGAAAUGCGUAGAUAUAUGGAGGAACACCAGUGGCGAAGGCGGCUCUCUGGUCUGUAACUGACGCUGAGGCUCGAAAGCGUGGGGAGCAAACAGG
rnacentral:rRNA from 1 species